UUUCCGUAGGUGAACCUGCGGAAGGAUCAUUGUCACACAUCCUAAUGGAUGCUUGUGCCAACAAGCAGACCCAGCGAACCAUUCUCCUAUCACUUGAGGGGCUGCAUCGCGAGGUGCAGCUGUCGGCGGUCGGGCCCUUGCUUCAGGGGCCGGAGUCCUUGCUGGGUUCACCGUUGCGGGUGAGCACCGGCCGUCCGACGGGGGCCGCUCUUGGGCCUCGCACACGGGAGAGUGCGGGGGCGGCGUUUCCCACUCCAGCUGUCCCAUCCGGGGCAGCUGCGCAACCAACCAAAACACUAUGCAAAAACCGACUGAAGACCGAUCCUUUGCGGGCGCCUUCGGGAGCCCUGCCUCGGAUCAAGAACAAACUAAAGACAACUCUCAACAACGGAUAUCUUGGCUCUC
rnacentral:misc_RNA from 1 species